rnacentral:lncRNA from 1 species
UUGAAUAAAAACUUUGGAGAUAAAAAAUAGAGAUUGUGACUUCUUGGCCUUUUGACUAAGAUCAAGUGUAAAGGAUAGAGAUUAAAUAUCUUUUGGCAGUUGAGGCUUUCCACAAUCUAAAUUUACCUUGUCUUCUGUUUCCUUGUGACAUUACCACCUCACCUUAUUCCCCACUGUGUUUCUGCCUGAACCAAGACCAACUGGACCUGUCUGCUCACUAACAAACAUGUUAUUUACUUUCCCUCCUUCUAUUUCUCAACCCUGCAAAUUCUUACUACUCCUCCUUGUUAAUCAAAUCCUAGCAACUUUUUUGAGACUUGGGAUGUUCUACGUUUUGCCGAAAGCCUUCCCCCACCUAAUCUAACUUAUGCUAAUUUUCUCCUUUCUCAGAGCCUCUCCUAGCAUUUAUGACCUCUGGUAUGUAUUUUGACAUGUUUCCUUACUAUUAAACGUUAUUACUGAUCUUAUCAUGGGUGUAUGUCUGGACAAAAAUAAGACCAUUUUACAUUUAUUUUGCAUCCUCUACAGCACCUGGUAGACACUGUGUGUAUGUUAAGCACAUAAUCAGCACCCGUGGACUGAAUUUGCCCACUUGUUUCCUAGUGCCUUUCAAAGACAACCUGGUUUUGCCUUUUCUUUUCCAUUCAGGAGCUAAUUCUAUCCUCACGUGUCUGUCCUACCAAUACAGCCCUCUCUCCCUAAUAGAGGGUCCAGGGCCCCCAUUUAUCCUGUUCUCUUUGCAGCACUUUGUAGCAGAUCAGCUGUGUUUCCACAUUUGUUCUUUGUUUUCUUACAGUGGGCUACUUAAAUAGUCCAUAACUUCUGCUCCAUACAGGCACGGGCUGCAGAACAAGAGGCCUGUUGGAAUUGCCAUAACCAAAGAGAUUGUGUAUAUUGUGGGGGCUGGGGAGUGGGUAGAAACUCACAGAAAGCAGUAUGGUGAAGGGUUUUGGUGUCUGGUAUACACGCAGGCUCUGGGACAGUUUUGGAGAUAGGUCUGGAAAUUGGGUAUAUGUGACGGAGAUGUAUGGCCAAAGGCAAUUUCAUAAACAACUAUAAAGUCAACAAACCCACAAAUUUGCUUUUAGAGCUAAAGUUAAUAUUAUGCAGUUCAGUCUCUCUUUUUUACACACAAGAAAACUAAGGUCCAAAGAGGUACUUGCAAAUAGUAGAUAAUAAAUAUUAGCUGAUUGCAAAUAAUCUAAUCAAGUCAGUCUUUAGACAGAUUCAUUCUUUAUGGUAUUUAAUGUCAGAACGAACUAGUCUUGGUUUUAGUCAGCAAUUCAAGACUAAAUCAUACUUGUCAGCAUGAUAACUAAACAGGACCCAUCAAGGGAAUCUGGCUUUGCUGACACCUUGAUUUCAGACCAGUGAACCUGACUUAGGACAUCUGACCUCCAGAACUAUAAGAAAAUAAAUGUGUGUUGUUUUAAGCCAUCAAGCUUCCUGUAACUUGUUACAGCAGCCCUAGAAAAUAUACAGUGACCUUAGAGAUUCUUCAAGUAAAGGUAAACUUCAGUAAUAUCUUUAUCUCAAUAGCACUGGAAAAUCAGAUAAGCCAUAUUAAUUAUGUUUUUUAAUGUUAUCAGAUGUGGGCCACCAGCCUUAAGCCAGAGGGAGCUUUGUAAGACAGGAACAUAUAAAAUGAUAAAAGCUUCUCUACGUACAGUUUUCCUGACUCUGAUUCUGCGUGGGACAACCAGUGAAAAUUGCAGGUGAAGAGAAGAAAUGCGUAUUUAUUCCUCCACUGGGAAAAAAAAUACCAUCCAAAGCUACAUGACUUGAGAGACAAGGUCUCACUAUGUUGCCCAGGCUGGCCUCGAACUCCCGGGCUUCAGCAGUCCUCCCGCCUCACCCUCCGAUGUAGCUAGGACUACAGGACCGCGACCCGGCGCUGCCUAAGAACUGUUUUUAAACGUGAAAGCCACGGCUAUCAUUUGCUUUUUGCUCUGCUCUUCAUCUUCUGGAUAAACCUCGUAACACACUGCUUGUUUUGGGUGGUAGUCUGCUGCCUACGCCCCGUCAGACAAGUGGCCUGAGUCCCCCGCAACCCCUGCAGGUCCGGCCGCCGGCGCCAAGCCUCAAGGCAUCCAAGCCAGGAACGAUCGCGGUCAGCUCUGCCACGGAACAUGUGCAAGACCCGGCAGCAGGUUCCGGGGGAGGCGAAUUGAUUUCACAACGGUCGAGAAGGAGGACCCCGCCCACUUCGUCAUUUCUCGGAAGCCCAGGGACUCGCCGGAAGAGCGGCUCAAAAGCCGGAAAACUGGCAAAUCCGAGUCUCCCGGCGCAUGCGCGGCGCAAUCGGCUUCGCGUGGUUGCAGUAGAGAGGAUCCCUCCGCCAGCCACUGCAUCCGGCGGCCGGAUCUAACUUACCCGCUAGCGUUUUACCCUUGCGCGGCCGUGGCGUAGGGCGGUCUUUUCCCUUGGUCCUCCGCGGCGCCGCCUCUUGUGACGUAAGCCGCAGAAUCCUCUGUCUUAGUUCGGCUCUAUUGCCGCGAGCUUGACUCUUCCUGGGUCUGAGGAAAAGUAAAAGUAAUUUUGUCAUUUCCUGAAACUUCAAGUUAAACCUUUAAGCUGUUCAUUUCCUAAAAGGGUGAAAACGCGGGCACCCCUCGAGCUAGUUCAUCGCCUUUUAACCUGUUGUUGGAUCUUUCCAGAUCACCACACCACAUCACCCAGCCACUCUGCCCAAUGGGAGGGCAGACAGUGUUCCAGUGUAGGAGGAAGGGGUGUAAGGUGCGGGCAGUUUGUGAGGAGGGCACCAACGAGAGCUACUGUGAGAAAGUCUGCAUGGUCAAAAAGUGGAUUACCAAGAACAAAGCAUCAUAAUGUUGUCCAGUGGACCCCAGUGGUGGAAGGUACCUGAAAGCCAGAGCUAAAAGAGCCUAUUGAAACAAUCACUACAUGGCAGCCUGUGGGACAUGGAGCUGGGCAGGAGAGAUGGAAAACAGAAGCGAUCAGGCACUGAUUAUAUGUCAAAUUCAACAAAGUUCAGAUAUACGAGGGAACUUCAAAAGUUCAUGAAAAAAAUGGAAUUAGAAGAUAAAAAUAAAAAGUGGAAACUGUAUUUCUCAACAUAAACUCCAUCAAGUUCAAGACACUUUGGUAAGUGGUAAUAUCAGCCAUUUAGUCCAUUAUUAAAGAGCUAAGGGUCCUGGGAAUUUAACCAUGUUGAUGCAGUCGUUUUAACAUUAUUAACUGAAACAAAAUAAGUGCCCUUUGCAGAUUUUUUAAGAUUAGGAAACAAAAAGUCAGAAGGAGCCAAAUCAGGACUGUAAGGUGGAUGCCUAAUAAUUUUCCAUGGAAACUCUUGCAAAAUCGCCCUUGUUUGAAGAGAAGAACCAGCAGGAGCAUUGUCUUAGUGGACAAGGACUCUCUAGUAAAGUUUUCCUGGGUGUUUGUCUCUUUUCUUCUUCCUUCCUUCCUUCCUUCCUUCCU